AGCAGCCGCGGUAAUUCCAGCUCCAAUAGCGUAUAUUAAAGUUGUUGCAGUUAAAAAGCUCGUAGUCGAAUUUCGGGGUUCUACCGUUGGUCGGGCUAUUGUCUGUACUGGCGUGUAGAAUUUCUACCUUCUGGGGAACUAUCAUGUUAUUAAUUUAGCGUGGUAGGAAACCAGGACCUUUACCUUGAAAAAUUAGAGUGUUUAAAGCAGGCUUACGUCUGAAUACAUUAGCAUGGAAUAAUAAAAUAGGACGGUGGUCCUGUUUUGUUGGUUUCUGAAUCACCGUAAUGAUUAAUAGGGAUAGUUGGGGGCAUUAGUAUUCAAUUGUCAGAGGUGAAAUUCUUGGAUUUAUUGAAGACUAACUACUGCGAAAGCAUUUGCCAAGGAUGUUUUCAUUAAUCAAGAACGAAAGUUAGGGGAUCGAAGACGAUCAGAUACCGUCGUAGUCUUAACCAUAAACUAUGCCGACUAGGGAUCGGAUGAUGUUAAUUUUUAAUGUACUCAUUCGGCGCCUUACGGG
rnacentral:rRNA from 1 species